rnacentral:rRNA from 1 species
CGCCAGACUCCUACGGGAGGCAGCAGUGGGGAAUAUUGCACAAUGGGGGAAACCCUGAUGCAGCGACGCCGCGUGAGCGAUGAAGUAUUUCGGUAUGUAAAGCUCUAUCAGCAGGGAAGAAAAUGACGGUACCUGACUAAGAAGCCCCGGCUAACUACGUGCCAGCAGCCGCGGUAAUACGUAGGGGGCAAGCGUUAUCCGGAUUUACUGGGUGUAAAGGGGGCGCAGACGGCAGCGCAAGCCAGGAGUGAAAGCCCGGGGCCCAACCCCGGGACUGCUCUUGGAACUGCGCGGCUGGAGUGCAGGAGGGGCAGGCGGAAUUCCUGGUGUAGCGGUGAAAUGCGUAGAUAUCAGGAGGAACACCGGUGGCGAAGGCGGCCUGCUGGACUGCAACUGACGUUGAGGCCCGAAAGCGUGGGGAGCAAACAGGAUUAGAUACCCGGGUACC